rnacentral:misc_RNA from 1 species
AUAAUAGCGGGUCCUCUCGAAUUAUAGGAUGUCUGAACCCUUGAAUACAUAACUUUGUUGCUUUGGCGGGCCGCCUUCAGGCGUCGGCCUCGGCUGACAGCGCCCGCCGGGGGACCCAAACUCUUGUAUUUCUUACUUUGCAUGUCUGAGUGGAAUCAUAAACAAAUGAAUCA